AGCAGCAUUUCUCAUGAAAUAGCUAGACAAUUCAAUGAAGAAUCCAAGCUAUUGGAUUUUUAUAUUUAAGUUAAUUUUAGUUAAGUAAUUAUUUUUUAAAAAGUUUAUUUCUGAUGAGAAGGAAAGUAGUUAUUCACAAUUUUGUUAUCCAACUUUUUUCCACGCAGAAUUUCCAUUCCCUAGCUUUGAGAAAAAAGGUAGAAUAAAAUUUUGGAAUAUACAUUCCUUAAUUGUACUGAAAUUGAAUUUCAGGUGGAAAGUAAAUACAUCCAACCAAGAUAGAUAUUUACCUCAAUAUAAAUAAGUAGAGAAAAGGAAAAAGAGACUUGAAGUAGAAACUGUACUUUAAAUACCAAAUUUUAACAGAAUGUAUAUGAUGCAAUAAAUCUUUUUACUUCACUUUUCACAGGGGAAGUGAAUGGGAGGCAAACCUUGGAAUAGAUAUUUACUUUGUUUCAGAAAAAGAUGUACUGCUAAAACCUGCGUCUUCUAGUUAAAUGAGAUUUUUGCAAAGUAACCCCCAAAUGAAGCUAUUAGUAGGCAAUGAGGAAGUGAGAAGAUUAAGUUCCCACUGCUGCUGGUUUGGCCCUUAACUGCUUGCUGACUCAUGGGCCCAGCGGCGGUGCCAGUCCAGUUUCCUUCCAGGCAUUUCUUAAUGGAGACAGCAUGGUGUGGUGAGGACGCUGCUGCCCAGGAUCCAGGGCUGGCCCUGUCAUCCUGGCCCUGUCACCCACUGUGUGAGCUCAGGCAAGUUGCUUUCCUCUUAGUAUCUUCAUUUGGAAAUCAGGGGCCAUUAUACUACGUGCAUCAUAGGAUUUGUACGAGGAUUAAGUUAGUCUGUAGAAUUUGGGGCACUUAAUGAACAGUUAACUAGGAUUGAAAUAAGUAAUUAGUGUACCUUAGCACUUAGUACAUGGAAGAGGGAGCUACGAUAAAACAUGAUGUGAACUUUGUGUAUAAAUACAUUUACAAAUUGAAAAAGAAAAUAUUGCAAAUUAAUUUAGACUUUGGAAAUGUAUUCUAGUAUAAUGCAGGCUGUUAUUUGAGGUCAUCACUCCCCUCAGGUUGUAUUCAUUGAUUCAUACAUUCAUACUUGUAGCAAGUGUUUAUUUAGCAGAUAAUGGGUAUAAGAUACUAUACUAAGCCUCAUGGAUAUAUUUGAGGAUGAAUAAUCAAGGAGUAACUCAAGGAGCUUGGAUUAGUCAAAAGUACACACGCACAUCCACACACACAGAGGAACAUUAAAGAGGAUAUCUCUUAAGUGUAUGGAUAGAUAACAAACAAUCUAUCUGUGAGUUGAGGGAUGGGAGAGAUAGCUUCUAACCAGUGUAGUUUAGAAAAACAAUACAGGGGCACUGGGGUGGCUCAUUCGGUUAAGUGACUGACUUCAGCUCAGGUCAUGGUCUUGCGGUUCAUGAGAUUGAGCCGCACACCAUGCUCUAUACUGUCAACAUGAGAGGCCAACUUCAGAUCCUCUGUCCCCCUCUCUCUCCCCCUCCCCCACUUGUGGAUGUGCUCUGUCUCUCUCUCUCUCUCAAAAAUAAAUAAACAUUGAAGAAAACAACAACAACAACAAUACAUUGGUAGGAUUUGUCCUGAUCCAUUAAAGCAGAAGGGAUAAACUGAUGAUUCAAAGGUCUAAAACAUGCAUAUUUCUGAGGAUUCUUUUGAUAUUAUUUCUCAAUAUUUAAACAUUGGAAGUUUUCUUCUAAAUGUCUGUAUUUUUUGUUUUCAUUGAAAAAUUGGA